GAUGAACGCUGGCGGCGUGCCUAAUACAUGCAAGUCGAGCGAAUGGAUUAAGAGCUUGCUCUUAUGAAGUUAGCGGCGGACGGGUGAGUAACACGUGGGUAACCUGCCCAUAAGACUGGGAUAACUCCGGGAAACCGGGGCUAAUACCGGAUAACAUUUUGAACCGCAAGGUUCGAAAUUGAAAGGCGGCUUCAGCUGUCACUUAUGGAUGGACACGCGUCGAAUUAGCUAGUUGGUGAGGUAACGGCUAACCAAGGCAACGAUGCGUAGCCGACCUGAGAGGGUGAUCGGACACACUGGGACUGAGACACGGCCCAGACUCCUACGGGAGGCAGCAGUAGGGAAUCUUCCGCAAUGGACGAAAGUCUGACGGAGCAACGCCGCGUGAGUGAUGAAGGCUUUCGGGUAGUAAAACUCUGUUGUUAGGGAAGAACAAGUGCCAGUUGAAUAAGCUGGCACCUUGACGGUACCUAACCAGAAAGCCACGGCUAACUACGUGCCAGCCGCCGCAGUAA
rnacentral:rRNA from 1 species